UACGAAGGGGGCUAGCGUUGUUCGGAAUUACUGGGCGUAAAGCGCACGUAGGCGGAUUGUUAAGUCAGGGGUGAAAUCCUGGAGCUCAACUCCAGAACUGCCUUUGAUACUGGCGAUCUCGAGUCCGGGAGAGGUGAGUGGAACUGCGAGUGUAGAGGUGAAAUUCGUAGAUAUUCGCAAGAACACCAGUGGCGAAGGCGGCUCACUGGCCCGGUACUGACGCUGAGGUGCGAAAGCGUGGGGAGCA
rnacentral:rRNA from 1 species